rnacentral:tRNA from 1 species
AUCUAUAUAUUAUAUAAAAUAUAUUUGACUUCCAAUCAAAAAAACUAAUUAAAUUAGUAUAGAUA